CACGUAGGAUCCGAAGGUUGUCCGGAUUUACUGGGCGUAAAGGGCGCGUAGGCGGUCUGUCAAGUCCCAUGUGAAAUCUCCCGGCUCAACUGGGAGGGGUCAUGGGAAACUGGCAGGCUUGAGGGCAGCAGAGGGAAGCGGAAUUCCGGGAGUAGUGGUGAAAUGCGUAAAUACCCGGAGGAACACCAGUGGCGAAGGCGGCUUCCUGGGCUGUUCCUGACGCUGAGGCGCGAAAGCGUGGGGAGCAAACCGG
rnacentral:misc_RNA from 1 species